UCCAGAUUAAGGAAAUAACAAAAAAAAAAAAAAACUAAAAUAACUUUUUUGGACCAAUCGGCAAGAAGGGACCAAAAUUGGUCCUCUUCUUCGCAUGCUGGCCGAACAGAGACUUUCCCCUUUUCAUUUUUCGGCGAGCUUAUCACCAUGGCCGGCAAGCGUUCUUCGAGCCCAACAUCUCCAGUGAAACCCAACAGUUCUAGUGAAGGCUGUCACACCCUCCUUUGUGAUCCAAGCGGCACUUAAUGCAAGAGGAAACCUCUAUUGUUUCCGACGACGCUAGGAAGAACCCAAGGCUUUAAUAGCCAUUUUCAACAUUUCUCUGGCCAUGCGAACAACCCAGACUAGUGCCUCUCAACAAUGGAAACGAGAGAAACCCGUGCGACGGGGAGAGGAUCAUCCAAGGCCAUUUCCGGCCAUCUCCGACAACGGGAAGACAGGGGACGCCUGCAGCGAGAUUCUGGCAGCACUAGGUUCCUCGUCCGACCAAGACUCGCCGGUUUUAAUGGAGUUUCCGGCAAGAAACGAAGAGAGAGAAAGAGGAGAGAGAAAGUGACGGCAUUGGCUUUCUGGCCACUUUUCCGGUGAUCCGACCGUCGAAUCAGAAAUCCGAGAUGACCGAUGGAUUCGGGACGACGAGAUCUUUGAGAUAGGACCAAUCUCACUCCGAUCGGACACAAUUUGAAAAAUGUGAUAAUCGGACGAUCCAGAUCGCUUAGUGAGAUUUUCGAACUUUUUUUAUUUCCAAAAUUUAAAAAUAAUUUUAUAAUAAUUAUUAACACAAUUUGGACUUAAUUUUGGUGUAAUCGGAUCGAGGAUAGCUUUCAGUUAGAUUCGGCUGCCCGUCUCAGAACGUAUUCGAUAUUACAGUUAAUCCUAGCAUUUUUAGACGUUCUAAACACGUUCCAGGUAUCAAAAUUGGUAUAGGUAAACCCGAACUACAAGUUUCUCAUUUUUUGCUAAUACCGAUUUAGAAUAAAAUUCAUAAAAUAUUCGUGGAUGAUCAAAAAAUUUUAAUUCUUUUUGCAAUAGCCUUAUAAUAUUAUUAAGGACCGCGGGGAAAAAUUUUAGAAUUUUUAGAGCUCGUUUAGGUAAUUUUUGCAAAAAGGCUAGUUAUAGGGGCUAAAUUGUAAUUUUUUGAAUUGUGAUUGUUGACUGUUUGGGUGGGCCCAGGAGGAGCCUUGUGAUGUGAUUGUGUUGUGAUUAUGUGAUUGGCAGAUAUAGAAGUGUAUUUUGAAGCUUUUUGCAGGUUGGGUAAGUCCUAGGUAUAGGGAAAACUCUGUCGGAUUUUCGACAUGAAUUAGGAUGUCUGUUGCCUCUUUAUUCAUUUUGACUUAGUACUAAUAAAUUUAUAAUUUAAUUAUUAGGUGAUUGAUGUUAGCUAUUUUCCUCCAUCCAGCAGCCACAAUAGUCCUUGGUGUACUGUGAGUAAAAUAUUAAUUUUAAUUGUAAUUUUGAUAUUAUUAUAUGUUCAAGCAUAACCAUGCAUCACUUAUAUGUAUAUAUUUAUGUAGUUAAAUACUAAGCACAUUUUAUGUUGCAUUUAUAAUUGUUAAAGUGCCAUGAAUGUUGUUGUGGUAAUUUAGAGCAGUGUGCGUGAGUUGGCGUGCGUGUGGUAUGGUGUUGGCUAUGGACAGGACGGGUAGACACGGCUUGAGAUCUUCGCUGGGACCCGGUCCUUUGGGGUAGACACGGCUUGAGUUCUUCGCUGGGACCCCGAUUUGGUUUAUUAAGCGAAAGUCCGGCUUUAGUUCUUCGCUGGCACAUGUUGGAUUAAGAGGGCUGUAUAGGGGAUCAGCUCCCAUAUAUGUAUUGUUUGACAUUAUCAGGGAAAAGAUGGAAGGAUUCCUUGCUCGUUUGCUUAUCUACAAAUUGAAAAUUGAUUCUCAAGAAAAGGACUUCAGCCAUCUCUACAGUCUGAUAUCAUCAAAUGCAAACUCAGGUGUACAUACAUGUAAAUCCUCAAGUAGUAACUUGAUAUGUAUGUUUGUAGAAGAGCUUUGAUGUUUAAUUUGUUUUCUUGCUUCCAUCAAUCAAAUACGAUAAAAAAUUUUGUCAA